rnacentral:rRNA from 1 species
UUUGAUCCUGGCUCAGAACGAACGCUGGCGGCAGGCCUAACACAUGCAAGUCGAGCGAGGACUUCGGUCCUAGCGGCGGACGGGUGAGUAACGCGUGGGAACGUGCCCAAAGGUACGGAAUAGCCUCGGGAAACUGAGAGUAAUACCGUAUGUGCCCUACGGGGGAAAGAUUUAUCGCCUUUGGAUCGGCCCGCGUUGGAUUAGGUAGUUGGUGGGGUAAUGGCCUACCAAGCCGACGAUCCAUAGCUGGUUUGAGAGGAUGAUCAGCCACACUGGGACUGAGACACGGCCCAGACACCUACGGGUGGCAGC